GGGUCGAUGGUGUAGUUAGUUAUCGCAUCUGUCUAACAUUCAGCGCGAUCUUGUGUGCACAGAAGGUCCCCAGUUCAAACCUGGGUCGACUCA